AGGCGGACGCUGCGCAGUGUGGGUAGCAGACCGUGAGCCCCAGGGACGAGGGCCCCUGCGCAUCAGCUACGGAGGGGUGCGCGCUCCCGAGGGGCCGGGUGAUCAACCAGGGUAUCGCCGGGGACGGUAGAAGCAGACGAGGGCUGUGCCCCCGGAAUACACGGGCUGGACGGAGACACUUAAAUCCAGGCAGCUAAACACAGUGAGCACUGGGUGUUAUACUGUACGUCGGCAAAUUGAAUUUAAAUACAAUUUAAAAAAAUAAAAAUAUUAAAUUUAAAGACGGUAAAAAAAAAUGCAUAAGAUGAUUAGCAUCAACACGGUGCAGCACUUACUGUACAUACCAGGCAAUACUCUGGGGGCUUUGCACAUAUUGAUUCAUUAAAAUAACCUUAUGGGGGGGGGCACUGCUAUUGCUUCCAUUUUUACAGGUGGGAAAACGGAAGCACAGAGAGGCUAAGCAAGUCGCCCGAGGCCACACAGCCUGUCCGGGGUGGAACAGGAACUGCGCUCGGCCGCUCAGGCGCUUGACCUCCACAGCCUCCAAGUAAACAGGAGGACCCGAGAAGGGCCAGUUAGACCCGCAGCUCACCGUCGAGGAGACCGACUUUGCCACGAGUACCGAUGAGCGUGACGCUGGCAAGACGGUGACGGGGGUGAGCAUCCGUGGGGGCCCGGUGGGCACCGCGGCUCCUUCCGUCCACUCGGGGCCUCUCCGCGCAGACAUCCCGUCUUACAGGGGAAGGAGCCCGGGCUCCGGGGGCGGGGGGCAGGGGGGUCACUCGCCCAGGGACACACACACGCGGACACAGUUUCAAAUCCAGGUGAGCUGCGUCUCCAGCUCAAGUCCUGCAGCCCCUGGACGGCGGUGCAAGGUCAGAGCUGGGCGCGGGCCGGGCAGGGGGCGGAGGGGGGACCCCCCGGGGCUCUGAGGCAGCAAGCAGGGGACGCGGGGCUCCGGGCCUUCCAGGCUACCGCUGAUUGACAGACGGGGCAGGACUGGGAGGCUGCGUGUUUCUGGGCCGCGUGGGGAAGGGGCUGGGAGGUAACGGGAAGUCCCUUUGAGCUUUCUGGUAGGUCCGUCCAUUUAGCAACUUUGCAAUACGGGGGUGGGGGGGGGGUAUUUCUGUCUCCGAUUUAUUUUCUUUGUCCGCCCGGCUGUAGGAGGAGGGAAGGCCCAGGUCCCCGCGUCACCACUAGGUGUCGGCCUCGUCUCGGGAGUCCCCGGGCUGGGCUCCUGCCCCCUUCUCUGCGGAGGACGGACGGAGGACGGCGCCUGCAGGGCCGAGGCUGAGGCCGGGUCUGAGGGCUGCGCCUCCGUGUCCGCUCUGGGUCGGCUCCGAGGCCACAGCUCCCGGGAGACGCUGGGGACGCUGGGUGCUGUGAGGCUGGCAUCCUCGAAGCCCAGGAAGGGCUGUGGUCUCUGGGAAUCCAGCCCCACGUAGGUGUGGGGGCCUAGAACCGUCCCCCGAUCCCCCCAGUUCAUCCCCCACUUGGCCGAGCCCCGGGCCCUCUCCUGGCCCCUCGCCAGCAGCGAGCACAGGGCACCCGGGCACGUCCCCCCCGAUCUCCCCGUGAGGAAUCACUUUGCUACUCUUUCCCCCGUAAAUUAAACCUAAUCUUGUGUUGACUCCGCUGAACAAGGAGAAUA
rnacentral:lncRNA from 1 species